GUUCAUUCAAAUUUCUGCCCUAUCAACUUUCGAUGGUAAGGUAUUGGCUUACCAUGGUUUCAACGGGUAACGGGGAAUUAGGGUUCGAUUCCGGAGAGGGAGCCUGAGAAACGGCUACCACAUCCAAGGAAGGCAGCAGGCGCGCAAAUUACCCAAUCCCGACACGGGGAGGUAGUGACAAUAAAUACUGAUACAGGGCUCUUUUGGGUCUUGUAAUCGGAAUGAGUACAAUUUAAACCUCUUAACGAGGAACAAUUGGAGGGCAAGUCUGGUGCCAGCAGCCGCGGUAAUUCCAGCUCCAAUAGCGUAUAUUAAAGUUGUUGCAGUUAAAAAGCUCGUAGUUGAAUCUUGGGCCUGGCUGGCCGGUCCGCCUCACCGCGUGCACUGGUCCGGCCGGGCCUUUCCUUCUGGAGAGCCCCAUGCCCUUCACUGGGUGUGCGGGGGAACCAGGACUUUUACUUUGAAAAAAUUAGAGUGUUCAAAGCAGGCCUUUGCUCGAAUACGUUAGCAUGGAAUAAUAGAAUAGGACGUGCGAUCCUAUUUUGUUGGUUUUUAGGACCGCCGUAAUGAUUAAUAGGGACAGUCGGGGGCAUCAGUAUUCAAUUGUCAGAGGUGAAAUUCUUGGAUUUAUUGAAGACUAACUACUGCGAAAGCAUUUGCCAAGGAUGUUUUCAUUAAUCAGUGAACGAAAGUUAGGGGAUCGAAGACGAUCAGAUACCGUCGUAGUCUUAACCGUAAACUAUGCCGACUAGGGAUCGGGCGAUGUUCCUUUGUUGACUCGCUCGGCACCUUUCGAGAAAUCAAAGUUUUUGGGUUCUGGGGGAGAGCCCCGCCCUUCCU
rnacentral:rRNA from 1 species